rnacentral:rRNA from 1 species
UCCAAGAGUUUUGGAUGUGGCUCAGGACGAACGCUGGCGGCGUGCUUAACACAUGCAAGUCGAGCGGAAAGGCCCCUUCGGGGGUACUCGAGCGGCGAACGGGUGAGUAACACGUGAGCAACCUGCCCCUGACUCUGGGAUAAGCCCGGGAAACUGGGUCUAAUACCGGAUAUGACCACUCCAGGCAUCUGGUGGUGGUGGAAAGUUUUUCGGUUGGGGAUGGGCUCGCGGCCUAUCAGCUUGUUGGUGGGGUGAUGGCCUACCAAGGCGACGACGGGUAACCGGCCUGAGAGGGCGACCGGUCACACUGGGACUGAGACACGGCCCAGACUCCUACGGGAGGCAGCAGUGGGGAAUAUUGCGCAAUGGGCGGAAGCCUGACGCAGCGACGCCGCGUGGGGGAUGACGGCCUUCGGGUUGUAAACCCCUUUCAGCAGGGACGAAGCUAACGUGACGGUACCCUGCAGGAA